rnacentral:rRNA from 1 species
GAAAGGCGGGCUAAACCCGCGUACAUGCCACCGGGGCAUCCCGGAGGCAGGAAAGGCUUCGGCCGGACAGGGAUGGGCAUGCGGCGCAUUAGGCAGUAGGCGGGGUAACGGCCCACCUAACCGACGAUGCGUAGGGGUUCUGAGAGGAAGGUCCCCCACACUGGUACUGAGACACGGACCAGACUCCUACGGGAGGCAGCAGUGAGGAAUAUUGGUCAAUGGUCGGGAGACUGAACCAGCCAAGCCGCGUGAGGGAUGAAGGUACAGAGUAUCGUAAACCUCUUUUGUCAGGGAACAAAGGCGGGGACGUGUCCCCGGAUGGGUGUACCUGAAGAAAAAGCAUCGGCUAACUCCGUGCCAGCAGCCGCGGUAAUACGGAGGAUGCGAGCGUUAUCCGGAUUUAUUGGGUUUAAAGGGUGCGCAGGCGGUCUGUUAAGUCAGCGGUCAAAGCCCGGGGCUCAACCCCGGCCCGCCGUUGAAACUGGCAGUCUCGAGUUGGAGAGAAGUAUGCGGAAUGCGCGGUGUAGCGGUGAAAUGCAUAGAUAUCGCGCAGAACUCCGAUUGCGAAGGCAGCAUGCCGGCUCCACACUGACGCUGAGGCACGAAAGCGUGGGUAUCGAACAGGAUUAGAUACCCUGGUAGUCC